ACGCUGGCGGCGUGCUUAACACAUGCAAGUCGAACGAUGAAGCCUAGCUUGCUAGGUGGAUUAGUGGCGAACGGGUGAGUAAUACGUGAGUAACCUACCUUUAACUCUGGGAUAAGCCUGGGAAACUGGGUCUAAUACCGGAUACGACCAAUCUCCGCAUGGGGUGUUGGUGGAAAGCGUUAUGUAGUGGUUAUAGAUGGGCUCACGGCCUAUCAGCUUGUUGGUGAGGUAACGGCUCACCAAGGCGACGACGGGUAGCCGGCCUGAGAGGGUGACCGGCCACACUGGGACUGAGACACGGCCCAGACUCCUACGGGAGGCAGCAGUGGGGAAUAUUGCACAAUGGGCGCAAGCCUGAUGCAGCGACGCCGCGUGAGGGAUGACGGCCUUCGGGUUGUAAACCUCUGUUAGCAGGGAAGAAGAGAAAUUGACGGUACCUGCAGAGAAAGCGCCGGCUAACUACGUGCCAGCAGCCGCGGUAAUACGUAGGGCGCGAGCGUUGUCCGGAAUUAUUGGGCGUAAAGAGCUUGUAGGCGGUUUGUCGCGUCUGCUGUGAAAGGCCGGGGCUUAACCCCGUGUAUUGCAGUGGGUACGGGCAGACUAGACUGCAGUAGGGGAGACUGGAACUCCCGGUGUAGCGGUGGAAUGCGCAGAUAUCAGGAAGAACACCGAUGGCGAAGGCAGGUCUCUGGGCUGUAACUGACGCUGAGAAGCGAAAGCAUGGGGAGCGAACAGGAUUAGAUACCCUGGUAGUCCAUGCCGUAAACGUUGGGCACUAGGUGUGGGGGACAUUCCACGUUUUCCGCGCCGUAGCUAACGCAUUAAGUGCCCCGCCUGGGGAGUACGGCCGCAAGGCUAAAACUCAAAGAAAUUGACGGGGGCCCGCACAAGCGGCGGAGCAUGCGGAUUAAUUCGAUGCAACGCG
rnacentral:rRNA from 1 species